AUGUGGUAUAUGUGUCAAGGCCUACCAUCAACUCAAGUGUUCCGGCUUCCUCCCACCAUCCAAUUGAGCUAAUUCCAGCUGACGUUGGCUCUAGCCCCUCACAACCCUGUAUGCAGGAUAAGCAGUUGAGGAUGGAUGGAUGGAUGUGUUCUCAGGACUUAAAACACUAAUCUGUAUGUUUACAGAGACACGCUGGAGCUCUGUCAGAGAGAUCAUCCGGUUCUUGGUCACCUCCCUGACUAAGGCCCUUCUCCCGUGAUUGUUUAGUCCUGGUGGUUCCAAACUUCUUCUAUUUACGGAUGAUGGAGGCUACUGUGCUCUUUGGGACCUUCAAUGCUGCAGUGAACUCCAAUCAAGUUGUAGAAAUGUCUCAAGGAUGAUCAGUGGAAACAGGAUGCACCUUAGUUCAAUUUUGAAUGUCAUGGUAAAGGCUGUGAAUACUUCUGUACAUGUGGUUUUUUUUGUUUUUUAUUUUUA